rnacentral:rRNA from 1 species
AACGAACGCUGGCGGCAGGCCUAACACAUGCAAGUCGAACGUGAAGCCACCUUCGGGUGGUGGAAAGUGGCAGACGGGUGAGUAACGCGUGGGAACGUGCCUUUCGGUUCGGAAUAACCC